CAGCAGCCGCGGGAAUACGAAGGGUGCAAGCGUUACUCGGAAUUACUGGGCGUAAAGCGUGCGUAGGUGGUGGUUUAAGUCCGUUGUGAAAGCCCUGGGCUCAACCUGGGAAUUGCAGUGGAUACUGGGUCACUAGAGUGUGGUAGAGGAUAGUGGAAUUUCCGGUGUAGCAGUGAAAUGCGUAGAGAUCGGAAGGAACAUCUGUGGCGAAGGCGACUAUCUGGGCCAACACUGACACUGAGGCACGAAAGCGUGGGGAGCAAACAGGAUUAGAUACCCGGGUAGUCCCUGUCUCUUAUAC
rnacentral:rRNA from 1 species